rnacentral:tRNA from 1 species
GCCUUCGUGGUGAAGUGGUUAGAACACUCGGUGCGUUUUCUUUCGAGAGGUCCGUGGUUCGAGUCCCGGCAAGGGUA